rnacentral:rRNA from 1 species
AUGCAAGCCACCACGGCCGCGGCGGCGGCGCAGCUGCUAACAGAUACGAGGAGAGGGCCCAGAUGUAGUAGGGCUCGGCUGGGAGCGACGAGAUUAUCCUGGCCAGGUCGAUUUGCAGUGGAAGCUUUUGCAGGCCGGUGCCAAAGCAGUGCUACUACUGUCACGCAUAGAUUCAGUGCCAUUUCUCAAGCUACAAGCCCUAGAAGAAAGGCAAGGAGGCAGUGCAGCGAUGAUCAGUCAGCCCUCCAAGCUGGAUGCAGCAAGGUUAAUCGCGAUCAACAUGGUUACGACGUGAACUGGUUUGAGGAAAUCAGCCAAGAAGUUUCGAAGAAAUUGCGCGCUUUCUACCAGUUCUGCAGACCACACACAAUCUUUGGCACUAUCAUAGGCAUAACUUCAGUGUCUCUCCUGCCAAUGAAGAGCAUAGAUGAUUUUACUGCAACGGUACUAAAAGGGUAUCUCGAGGCUUUGGCUGCUGCUUUAUGUAUGAACAUUUAUGUGGUAGGGCUGAAUCAGCUAUAUGACAUUCAGAUUGACAAGAUCAACAAGCCAGGUCUUCCAUUGGCAGCUGGGGAAUUUUCAGUAGCAACUGGGGUAUUUUUAGUAGUCACAUUCCUGAUCAUGAGCUUUAGCAUCGGAAUACAUUCCGGAUCGGUGCCACUGAUGUAUGCUUUAGUUGUCAGCUUCCUUCUUGGAAGUGCAUACUCCAUUGAGGCUCCGUUGCUCCGGUGGAAACGGCACGCACUCCUCGCUGCAUCCUGUAUCCUAUUUGUGAGGGCUAUCUUGGUCCAGUUGGCUUUCUUUGCACAUAUGCAGCAACAUGUUCUGAAAAGGCCCUUGGCAGCAACAAAAUCACUGGUGUUUGCAACAUUGUUCAUGUGUUGCUUCUCUGCCGUCAUAGCUCUAUUCAAGGAUAUACCUGAUGUUGAUGGAGACCGAGAUUUUGGCAUCCAAUCCUUGAGUGUGAGAUUGGGGCCACAAAGAGUGUAUCAGCUCUGCAUAAGCAUACUGUUGACAGCCUAUUUGGCUGCCACUGUAGUAGGAGCUUCAUCCACACACCUACUUCAAAAGAUAAUCACUGUGUCUGGUCAUGGCCUGCUUGCACUAACACUUUGGCAGAGAGCGCGGCACCUUGAGGUUGAAAAUCAAGCGCGUGUCACAUCAUUUUACAUGUUCAUUUGGAAGCUAUUCUAUGCAGAGUAUUUCCUUAUACCAUUUGUGCAGUGA